GUGGGGAAUUUUGGACAAUGGGCGCAAGCCUGAUCCAGCCAUUCCGCGUGCAGGAUGAAGGCCUUCGGGUUGUAAACUGCUUUUGUACGGAACGAAAAGCCUCUGGUUAAUACCCGGGGGUCAUGACGGUACCGUAAGAAUAAGCACCGGCUAACUACGUGCCAGCAGCCGCGGUAAUACGUAGGGUGCAAGCGUUAAUCGGAAUUACUGGGCGUAAAGCGUGCGCAGGCGGUUGUGUAAGACAGGCGUGAAAUCCCCGGGCUCAACCUGGGAAUUGCGCUUGUGACUGCACAGCUGGAGUGCGGCAGAGGGGGAUGGAAUUCCGCGUGUAGCAGUGAAAUGCGUAGAUAUGCGGAGGAACACCGAUGGCGAAGGCAAUCCCCUGGGCCUGCACUGACGCUCAUGCACGAAAGCGUGGGGAGCAAACAGGAUUAGAAACCCCGGUAGUCC
rnacentral:rRNA from 1 species